rnacentral:tRNA from 1 species
GGGGAUUUAGCUCAAUGGUAGAGCGCUUGCCUAGCAAGCAUAAGGCCCUGGGUUCGGUCCCCAGCUCCG